rnacentral:snRNA from 1 species
GGAUGUGAGGGUGACCUGGCUGUGACAUCUGUCUGCUCAUUGAUCGCCAGGGUUGAUUGGGCUGAUCUGGCUGGCUAGGCAGGUGUCCCCUUUCUCUGUCACCACUCCAGGUGCGUCCCUCCCAAAGCUGCACCCUCAGUGGAAGAGGACGACCUUCCCCACUAGAGGGGGACCAGUCUUUGGUCAAGGGUCUAUGGGUAGCUGCUAGAACCUCCAAAUAAGCUCUCAAGAAUAUAUUCCACCAACUGGUUCUGCAAACUUUUUCUUUGUGCAACAUAUAAAGGUUUGACAAGUCAUGAGAAUGUUUCUUU